rfam:Treponema caldarium DSM 7334, complete genome.
GGGGGUGCACCGGUUUCGACUGGUGCGAUUCGGGGCGUAGGCUGCAGGUGGAGGCGCCGUACUCCUACUCUUCGGCGAAACAUUAACUGCCGACAACGACAGUUACGCUCUCGCUGCAUAAACAGCGGAACGCGGAACCCAGUCCCGCCGCCUUGAGGGGCUGGCAUUCCGUCGCAAUCAAGGCUGGUUGACCCCUGGGCCCGAACGGGGGAAGACGAGAUUAACCGGGCUACGGAUCCGCCGCACGCCGUGUAGCUAAGCGAGUCCCGACAAUACCAAUACACGGCUAAACCUGUAGAUGUUUACGCAACGCGUACUAGGACGCGGGUUCGAUUCCCGCCACCUCCAUAU